rnacentral:rRNA from 1 species
CAGUCGCCACGGGAAUACGUAGGUGGCAAGCGUUGUCCGGAAUUAUUGGGCGUAAAGGGCUCGCAGGCGGUUUCUUAAGUCUGAUGUGAAAGCCCCCGGCUCAACCGGGGAGGGUCAUUGGAAACUGGGAAACUUGAGUGCAGAAGAGGAGAGUGGAAUUCCACGUGUAGCGGUGAAAUGCGUAGAGAUGCGGAGGAACACCAGUGGCGAAGGCGACUCUCUGGUCUGUAACUGACGCUGAGGAGCGAAAGCGUGGGGAGCGAACAGGAUUAGAUACCCCUGUAGUCCCUGUCUCUUAUAC